CAUAACGUUCUUUGAAAAAACGUUAAUUCUAAUGAGUCUCUUGUAGAUUUUAUACCUAGGAGUGUGACAUAUAACCAAUAUCGCUAGGGCUACAUCUUUGAGACUGCUCACUUGGUGCAAUUGCAAAAAUCAUUAACGAAUUUGGGUUCCCUCUAACUUGGGGACUUCUUUUGCAUAGAUCAGAGCAUGCUCACAUAAAAUCUCUCUUGUUAAUGCAAAAUACCUCCAAAAUAAUUCCAUAAGGAGCACCUAUGUUUUUCAAAAGUAGAUGGGUUCUUUCAAUUCCAUAUAAGGUAAGUGCAAGUAUAUUUUCAUCAUUCUAUUGAGAAAAUAUUUCAACUAUGAGUAAACUUGGAAUUACUUGUACCUUGAACAAUCACUUUUUCCAUGAAGGAUCUUAUGUCAACCCUAUGAUGAUAUAAGAACCAAAAUGAUAUUUUAUGUGAAGGAAUUAUUUUGUGAAAACAUGUUCAUUUGAGCAACAUCAUAUAGCAUGCAAUUAACAAUUAAAGGCGGAAUCAUGCUUGUAUGCACUCAAAAACAAAACAUUACCAUGAAAUUCAAAGCCUAGUAGAUUGGUGAACCAAUAAUCAACUCAAAACAAAGUGAGUUGAAAUUAAUACCUUUGUAGAUUCCUCUUUGCAUAAGCAAAGGCUAAUCACCCAAAGAGAUAGAGCCUUCAUUCCUUGCUUCUUAGAUCCAUGGAUUUGGAUGGAAGAAAUAGGUUCUCCAAAGUUCCCAAAAAUUGAGAACUCUAAGUCUCUUCACCAACGUUAGAUUGUAGAAGAAAUGAGUGACCUUGGAGUAGUAGAUUGCUAGAUGUACCCUCCAAGGUGUUGGCCUCUUUAGAGAGAAAUGGAGAGACAAUUCUCAN
rnacentral:lncRNA from 1 species